ACACUGGACACUGCUGCAGGCAGACUCUUGGGCUGCCUUUGAAGAAGGCAAACUCACCAGUCCUUAACCACAAAGAUAUUCAAACCCAUGUCGAAGAAAUAAGCCUAAAAGCUCUCUCAGAGAAGAUACACUAUAGAAAGGGUGUGGCCAAGGACAAGGCCACCACUGUGGUGGCAUUGCUUCCACUUGGCUCACUGCAACAAAAGAUGCAUUCUGGAACAACCAGCAAGAACAUGGAACAGCAAGCUGUGUGUGGGAAUGUUCUUCCACUUGUCUAGUGUUUUCUGCAUGCAGAACUUUCUG